CCGAUUUGCUGCUUCACAAGAAGUGUUGGUCCGACAUAUUUGUUGGAGUGGAGCAUCUGUUUAAGGACUGACAGAGUUUUUGGUUACCUGAACAGUUUCUGGGCACAAGAUUUAUAGAUGAAGGUAGGUGAGAGGACCAGGCAGUGCUUGGCCGAACCAUAAAUGCAGAGAGAGCCCCCCACCCGUGCGUGUGUGUGGGUUUAUGGACGUUGGGUUGUUUGUUUUUGAAUGUAUGUGUGUGUGUGUGAGGGAGAUCCUUCUCUUUCUUUUGCUCUCUCUUAAUGUCCUGAUAUGUGUGUGUGUGUAUAUAUUUAUACACACACGUCCCUGUAUAUAUAGCUAUAUAUAUAUAUAUAUAUAUAUAUAUAUAUAUAUAAUGAACGUUAAAACGUAAGGGUCUUAUAUGUAUUUAUAUAUAUAUGUAUAUGUAUGUAUGUAUAUACAUGUAUAUAUAUAUAUAUGUAUGUAUGUAUAUGUGUGUAUAUAAACACAAAUAUGUACCUCUACUUUAUAUAUAUAUAUGUAUUUAUGUAUGUAUAUGUGUGUGUAUAUAAACACAAAUAUGUACCUCUGUAUAUGUGUAUAUAUAUAUAUAUAUAUGUAUUUAUGUAUGUAUAUGUGUGUGUAUAUAAGCACAAAUAUGUACUUCUACUUUAUAUAUAUAUGUAUAUAUAUAUAUGUAUGUAUAUAUAUAUAUAAUGUGUGUGUAUAUAAACACAAAUAUGUACUUCUACUUAUAUAUAUAUAUGUAUGUAUAUACAUAUAUGUAUAUGUGUAUGUACAUAAGCACAAAUAUGUACCUCUACUUUAUAUAUAUAUAUGUAUGUAUGUAUAUACAUAUAGAUAUAUAUGUAUAUGUGUGUGUAUAUAAACACAAAUAUGUAGCUCUACUUAUAUAUAUGUAUGUAUAUGUGUGUGUAUAUAAACACAAAUAUGUACCUCUACUUAAUAUAUAUAUAUAUAUAUAUAUGUAUGUAUGUAUAUGUGUGUAUAUAAAUACAAAUAUGUACCUCUACUUUAUAUAUAUAUUUAUAUAUAUAUACAUAUAUAUAUAUAUGUAUUUAUGUAUGUAUGUAUAUAUAUAUAUAUUUAUGUAUGUAUAUGUGUGUGUAUAUAAACACAAAUAUGUACCUCUAUUUUAUACAUAUAUGUAUGUAUAUGUAUUUAUGUAUGUAUAUGUGUGUGUAUAUAAACACAAAUAUGUACCUCUAUUUUAUAUAUAUGUAUGUAUAUGUGUGUGUAUAUAAACACAAAUAUGUACCUCUAUUUUAUAUAUAUAUAUAUGUAUGUAUGUAUAUAUAUGUAUUUAUGUAUGUAUAUGUGUGUGUAUAUAAACACAAAUAUGUACUACUUUUAUAUAUAUACCCCAGUAGAACCGUCCAACCCAUGCUAGCAUGGAAAACGGAUGCUAAACGACGAUGAUGAUGAUGAUAUGUAUGUAUAUAUAUAUGUAUUUAUGUAUGUAUAUGUGUGUGUAUAUAAACACAAAUAUGUACCUCCACUUUAUAUAUAUAUAUAUAAAGUAUUUAUAAUGUAUUUAUGUAUGUAUAUGUGUGUGUACAUAAACACAAAUAUGUUGCUCUAAUAUAUAUGUAUGUACGUAUAUAUGUGUGUAUAUAAACACAAAUAUGUAGCUCUACUUAUAUAUAUAUAUAUAUGUAUGUAUUUGUAUAUACGUCAAUAUAUAUAUAUAAUAUAUAUGCAUUUUUAUAAAAAUAUAAAUCUAUACAUGUAUACAGAUGUGCAUUUUUGUGUAUAUAUAUAUAUGCAUAUAUAUAUAUAUAUAUAUAUUUGUAUACGUGUAUAGAUAUGUGGAAGGCUAUCUUUAUUAUAUGUGUGUGUAUAUAUAUAUAUAUGUAUACACAUAUACACACAAGUAUGGAAAUGUGUAUACAUAUAUAUAUGCAAGUGUAUAUAUAUAUAUACGUGUAUUUAUAUACUUGUACAUAAGUGUGUGUAUAUAUACAUGUAUGUAUAUGCAUAUAAAUAGGCGUAUGUACAUAUGUGUAUAUUAAUAUAUUGUACAUGUGUAUGUACAUAUAGAUAAGUAUAUAUUAGGUGUACAUGUGUGUAUAUAUUUAUGCAUAUAUGUAAUAGCCUAUUUAAAUGCAUAUAUAUUCUUAUAUAUAUAUAUGAGCAUACAAACAUAUAUAUAUAGAUAUAUGAGUAUACAAACAUAAGUGUAUAUGUACAGAUAUAUAUAUACACACGUGUAUAUAAAUGCAUAUGCACUUUUGUAAAUAUAUAUAUACACGUGAGUGUGUAUGUAUAUACACAUAUAUAGGCAUGAAACGUUAGAAAAAUGUACCUCACCAAACUCCAUUCCACCCAUGCAAACAGAAAAAAGUGUACGUUAAAUAAUGAUAAUAAUAAUAGUAAUAUUUAUUUCCAAUUAAGCAUGGAUGUUCUAUUGGAACAUGAUAAUAAUAUUCAUAUAUGUGUACAGGCGCAGGAGUGGCUGUGUGGUAAGUAGCUUGUUUGUGCAGGUGGCACGUAAAAAGCACCCACUACACUCACGGAGUGGUUGGCGUUAGGAAGGGCAUCCAGCCGUAGAAACACUGCCAAAUCUGACUGGCCCUGAUGAAGCCUUCCGGCUUCACAGACCCCAGUUGAACCGUCCAACACUGCUAGCAUGGAAAACGGUCGCUUAAUGAUGAUGAUGAUGGUUUCGGGUUCAGUCCCACUGCGUGGCACCUUUGGCAAGUGUCUUCUGCUAUAGCACCGGGCCGACCAAUGCCUUGUGAGUGGAUUUGGUAGACGGAAACUGAAAGAAGCCUGUCGUAUAUAUGUAUAUAUAUAUAUAUAUGUAUGUGUGUUUGUGUGUCUGUGUUUGUCCCCUAGCAUUGCUUGACAACCGAUGCUGGUGUGUUUACGUCCCCGUCACUUAGCGGUUCGGCAAAAAGAGACCGAUAGAAUAAGUACUGGGCUUACAAAGAAUAAGUCCUUGGGUCGAGUUGCUCGACUAAAGGCGGUGCUCCAGCAUGGCCGCAGUCAAAUGACUGAAACAAGUAAAAGAGUAUACGUUGGUGCAGGUAUGGCUGUCUGGUUAGAGAACUUGCUUCCCCAUCAUGUGCUCUCUGAUGGAAUCUCAGUGCCACACAUCUUGGGCAAGUGGUUACUAUAACCCUGGGCUGAGUAAGGCCUUGUCUGUUUAUUUCACCAUCAUUGUUUUAUGUGCGUCUUCCAUUCUCGCAUCAGUUGGAUGGUUUCACAGGAGCUGGGAAUUCCAGAAGCCCCACCUGGUUCCGUUGUCUGCUUUGGUAUGGUCUCUACAACUGGCUGUCGUUCCUAAUGCCAACCACUUUAGAGUGUACAAGGUGCUUUUUAUGUGGCACCAGCACCAGUGAGGUCUGCUUUGGUAUGGUCUCUACAACUGGCUGUCGUUCCUAAUGCCAACCAUUUUACAGGUGUGCUGGGUGUAUUUUACAUGGCUUUUGAUGGAUGGAAACGUAAGAGGGUGGGAGAACAAGAUAGGUUGUAAGCAUGUGGGACGAAUAUACUGGGUGCUUUUAAUGUGGCAUUGGCACAAGUACUUCUAAAUGGCACCAGCACCCACAUGUCCGCGUGGCUAGGAUCCCUUGGUUGAAAGAGGGAUGUAGAGGGCAUGCCUGUAUGUAUGGGUAGCCACAAUUUUCCUGAGCUAUUUUCCUUCCUGACCCAUUUGUCUCUCUCCCACCAUACUCCAAAUCUACCCUUGUUCACCUCUCAGUGCAUUCACCUCUAUACCUAUUUCUUUAUUACCCACAAGGGGCUAAACAUAGAAGGGACAAACAAGGACAGACAUAGGUAUUAAGUCGAUUACAUCGACCCCAGUGCGUAACUGGUACUUAAUUUAUCGACCUCGAAAGGAUGAAAGGCAAAGUCGACCUCGGCGGAAUUUGAACUCAGAACGUAACGACAGACGAAAUACGGCUACGCAUUUCGCCCGGCGUGCUAACGAUUCCGCCAGCUCGCCGCCUUAUAUACCUCUUUACCUCUAUACCUGCCAUCUCUAACCAUCUAUUAGUCUCCCCUUACACUCUUACAAAACUCAUCCUGUGUCCCUGUCACCCUCCGAUCCACUUCCUGUAUUCUCUCUUAUACUUAACUUUCAUCGUGAGAUGCUCUGGCAUCUCGUCACUACCAUAUCUACCUUCUUUCCAGCUUCUCUCACCCACCCUUAUUAUAAUCCUUUCUACAAUAGGCACAAGACCUGAAAUUUUGUAGGAGGGGGUCUACCCAAUUAUAUCAACCCUGAAAGGCUGGAGGCAAAGUCAAUCUUGGCAGAAUUUGAACCCAGAACUUAAAGAUGGAUGGAAUGCAUUUGAUCCAGUGUGCUAAUGGUUCUGCUAGCUCACUACCUUAAUAAUAAUAAUAAUUAAUUCUUUUAUUGGCCACAAGGGCUGACAAAAAUCAAUUAUUACAUAAAGGGACAAAACAGGACGAAAGGAUACAAAGGGUUUUGUCUGUUUGUAAAAACCCGUGUAAAACAGUGUAACAAUCAAAAAUUAUAACAACGAAAAACUCCCAAUAGGGGGAGGCGUUACGAAAGGUUCCUGGUGGAAAAAACCCAUAAAAGCCAACGGGAGCUUUGUCAAAAGGUGGGUAGAGAGCCCCUUUCUCCUUUUAAUUCUUUCUACAAUAGGCACAAGGCCUGAAAUUUCUGGGGAGGGGACUAGUCAAUUACAUUGACCCUUCCCCCAGUGUUUCACUGGUAUUUAGUUUAUCGAUCCCGAAAGGAUGUAAAGCAAAGUUGACCUCGGCGGACUUUGCUUUUCAUCCUUUUGGGGUCGAUAAAUAAUAAUAAUUAUUAUUUCCAAUUUUAGCAUAAAGCCUGAAAUUUUUGGGGAGGGUUCUAGAUGAUUAUAUUGACCCCCAGUGCUUCACUUGCUUAUUUUAUUGACCCUGAAUGGAUGAAAGGCAAAGUCGACCUCAGCUGAAUUUGAACUCAGAAUGUAGCAGACGAAAUACCACUAAGCGUUUCACCCAACAUGUUAACAAUUCUGCCAGCUCACCGCCUUCUUAAUAAUAAUAAUAAUCCUUUCUACUAUAGGCAUACAGCCUGAAAUUUGUGGGGUAGGGACUAGUUGAUUUCAUCGACCCCAGUAUUUCACUGAUAUGUAAUUUAUUGACCCUGAAAGGAUGAAAGGCAAAGUCGACCUCAGUGGAAUUUGAACUCAGAACAUAGUGACGGGCGACAUACCGCUAAGCAUUUCAUCCAGUAUGCUAAGAAUUCUACCUUCUUAAUAAUAAUAAUCUUUUCUACUAUAUGCAACUGGUUCUUAAUUUACUUAAUUUGAAAGGAUGAAAGGCAAAGUCGACCUUGGUGGAAUUUGAACUCAGAAACAAUUCUGCCAGCUUGCUGCCUUAACAACAACAACAAUAAUGAUAAUAAUUAUAAGCGCAGGAGUGGCUGUGUGGUAACGUAGCUUGCUUACCAACCACAUGGUUCUGGGUUCAGUCCCACUGCAUGGCACCUUACGAGUGGAUUUGGUAGACGGAAACUGAAAGAAGCCCGUUGUAUAUGUAUAUAUAUAUAUAUAUAUAUAUAUUUGGGUGUCUUAGUUUGGCCCCAACACACCAUCGCUUGGCAACUGAUGUUGGUGUGUUUAUAUCCUUGUAACUAAGUCUGUAGAAGAGCGUAGGCUCGAAACGUAAAAGACUUUUUCUAUUCCUGAGCAUUAUACUAAUACAUCUGUUUGUUUUGUACACCACCUGUCUUCGUCUUUUGCUUUUUUUGUAAACCUUCCUUAUAUAUAUAUAUAUAUAUAUAUAUAUAUGAUAAAUAAAAAUAUAUGAUACAUACAAACAUAUAUGUACGUACCUACAUCUACAUAGGCGCAGGAGUAGCUGUGUGGUAAGUAGCUUGCUUACCAACCACAUGGUUCUGUGUUCACUGCCACUGCUUGGCACCCGGGGCAAGUGUCUUCUAUUAUACCCUCGGGCCGAUCAAAGCCUUGUGAGUGGAUUUGGUAGACGGAAACUGAAAGAAGCCCGCCGUAUAUAUGUAUGUGUGUCUGUGUUUGUCCCCCCCCCCAAGGGUAACUUAGCUGUUCGGCAAAAGAGGCUGAUAAAAUAAGCACUAGGCUUACAAAGAAUAAGUCCUGGGGUUGAUUUGUUCGGCUAAAGGCGGUGCUCCAGCAUGGCCACAGUCAAAUGCCCGAAACAAAUAAAAGAAUAUACAUGACAAGCUGCUUUGCAAUGCUGCAUGGUAGUAAGACAUGGAUCUUGACUGUAGAAGACCGGAAAGAGAUGGAGCUAGCAUGCUACAUGUUAGUGUGGCAUCACCAUCAUUUAAUGUUUGUUUUCACAUGCAGGCACAUGUUGGAUAGUUUGAUAAGAACCAUCCAGCUUUUAAUGUGACUCUGGCACAGGUUCUUUUGUGUGGCACCAGCACCAACAAGUCUGCGUGACCCGGAUGUAGAGGGCAUGCCUGUAUGUAUGUAUGGAUGGCCACGAUUUUAAUGUCUUCUCAAGUACAGCAAAGUACCAGAAGAUUCAGUGCCUUGUCAUUUCCUUUGUGAGGCCCAGCGUGGAGCUUAGGUGUUUCGCUCAUAAACACACACACACAUCACCCGGUCUAAGAUUUGAACCCGCGAUCCCUCGACUGCAAGUCCGCUGCUCUAACCACUAGUUCGCACGUCGGGCGAAAUGCUUAGCGGUAUUUCGUCUGCCGUUACGUUGUGAGUUCAAUUUCCGCCGAGGUCAACUUUGCAUUUCAUCCUUUUGAGGCCCAGCUUCUGAAAAUCCUUUCUUAAUCACUCUGUCUCAUGUCUUCCUGGGUCUACCUCUUCCACAGCUUCCGGCACUUCUUCAAACAGCUGUCCUCACCCAUACGCAUCACAUGAGUAUACCAACACAGUCUUCUCUCUUGCACAUGUCUGGUGCCUCUUAUACCCAAUCUUUUUCUUAACCCUUUUGUUGCCAUAUGUCUGUAGAGAUAUUCUGUCUUUAAUUAAUUUUAAAACCAGUGAAUUUAGCAAAAUAACCUUGUCAUUAUUAAUUGGUGUUUGGAUCAUAAAUUAACACUAAGUUCUGAUGAAAGAUUUUAAUUCAGAACUCUUGAUAACAAGAUGUAUUCCACACCAUCUGAACAUGGCCGAUGCCAGUGCGGCCUUGACUGGCUUCUGUGCCGCUGGCACAUGACCUGCUGUACCGCUGGCACAUGACCUGCUGUGCUUGAGGAGACCUAUUGAGUCAAGUAUAUCAACAUCAAAAUGUAUAUCAAAUGGAAAUAGUAGUUGUGAUACCUGUGCCGGUGGCACGUAAAAAGCACCCACUACACUCACGGAGUGGUUGGCAUUAGGAAGGGCAUCCAGCUGUAGAAAUACUGCCAGAUCAGACUGGAGCCUGGAGCAGCCUCCUGGCUUUCCAGACCCCGGUCGAACUGUCCAACCCGUGCUAGCACGGAAAACGGACGUUAAACGAUGAUGAUGAGAGCCAGGGGCAGUCUCAGGUGGGUUGGUAUCAAAAGGGUUAAAUUGUGUGAAUGACAAAGUACAAAUGUAUUGAGAGAUGAACUGGGUAGAAGAGGAUUCAGAUGCAGAGUGCAAGAAAGAAGACUCUACUAGUAUGGACGUGUGAUAACUUCAUAAUUAACUUCUAAACACUUAAUGAGGAUGGAGCAUGCUGAAGAGAGAGACCUAUGAAGACAUGGGAUAAAACGAAGGUAGUUCUCAAGACCUUGAACCUCGUAAUGGUGACAAAGGAUUGGACUGACUUGCGGUAUGCCAUGCUGGAGCACUGCUUUGCAGAAGUUUAGUGGAAUCAACCCCAGUACUUAUUCUUUUGUAAAGCCUGGUACUCUGUUGGUGUCUUUUGCCAAACCGCUAAGUUAUGUUCCUUCUCGAGCCAUGCCUGGCUCAUAAGGGCCGGUUUCCCGGUUUCUUGGUGCAUAGGUUCCCCACCUGGACGGGAUGCCGGUCCAUCGCAGGUGAGCUGCAAGAUGCAGGAGGAAAGAGUGAGAGAAAGUUGUGGCGAAAGAGUCAGCAGAGGUUUUGCCAUUACCUUCUGCCGGAGCCGCAUGGAGCUUAGGUGUUUCGCUCAUAAACACACACAUCGCCCGGUCUAAGAUUCGAACCCGCAAUCUCUCGACUGCAAGUCCACUGCUCUAACCACUAGGCCAUGUGCCUCCACUAAGUUAUGGGGACAUAAACACACCAACAAUGAUUGUCAUGUGGUGGUGAGGGACAAAUACAAACGCAAAGACACACACAAUGGGUUUCUUUGAGCUUUCUUCUACCAAAUCCACUCUCAAGGAUUUGGUUGGCCCAAGGCUAUAACAAGGGACCUUUUGCCCAACGUGCCAUGCAGUGGGACUGAACCUGGAACCAUGUGUUGGGAAGCAUACCUUUUACCACACAACCAUGCCUAUGCCUGCUCCACACCCAAUUUCCUCCUUGAGAUAAAACCCACCACCCUACAUCUCUCUAACUGCAGUAUUCUGCUGCUAUAAUUACAUCUGAACUGACCUGCAUACUUCAUCAGUUCUUCCUUGAUACCGUUUAUCUUUCUCACUUCCCAGAACCAUUUUUUUCAACAUUCCAUCCUUCUUAUUUUUAACCCUUCAGUGUUCGCAUUAUUCUGCCAAAAUUAAUCCCUUUUUAUCCAAAUUGUUUUGAACUAAUCAUGCUAUGAGAUUUUGAUGAGGUAGCUGUUAAUUUUUAAAACGGUAUUGUAGGGCUGGUGUGAGAGACCAGAUCUGGCCACUUUGAACAUAAAGCAGGCAGAAUAUUUUUGGCCGGAUAUGGCCAGUUUAAACGCUAAAGGGUUAAUCUCCACUAGUGUUUUUCAGUGAUUACACCUCUGUGGUCACCAAAUUAACUCUCUCUCUCCCCAUUCAUUAUGCUCGUCCCAUAUGCUUACAACCUUGUUCUCUCAUCCUCUUCUGUCUCUCUUUUUAUCCCAUCCCUCCUCACUCUUACCCUAUCUGCUCUUUUACUCUUUUUACUCUUUUACUUGUUUUAGUCAUUUGACUGCGGCCAUGCUGGAGCACCGCCUUUAAUCGAGCAACUCGACCCCGGGACUUAUUCUUUUUGAAAACCCAGUACUUAUUCUAUCGGUCUCUUUUGCCGAACUGCUAAGUAACGGGGACAUAAACACACCAGCAUCGGUUGUCAAGCAAUGCUAGGGGGACAAACACACACACACAAACACAAACACGCAUAUAUAUAUAUAUAUAUAUAUAUAUGCAGGAGUGGCUGUGUGGUAAGUAGCUUGCUAACCAACCACAUGGUUCCGGGUUCAGUCCCACUGCGUGGCAUCUUGGGCAAAUGUCUUCUGCUAUAGCCCCGGGCCAACCAAUGCCUUGUGAGUGGAUUUGGUAGACGGAAACUGAAAGAAGCCUGUCGUAUAUAUGUAUAUAUAUAUAUAUGUGUGAGUGUGUGCGUUUGUGUUUGUCUACCUAGCAUUGCUUGACAACCGAUGCUGGUGUGUUUACGUCCCCGUCACUUAGCGGUUCGGCAAAAGAGAACGAUAGAAUAAGUACUGGGCUUACAAAAAAAAGAAUAAGUCCCGGGGUCGAUUUGCUCGACUAAAAGGUGGUGCUCCAGCAUGGCCGCAGUCAAAUGACUGAAACAAGUAAAAGAGUAAAAGAGUAAAAGAGUAUAUAUAUAUAUAUACACACACACACACACACACAUAUAUAUAUAUAUAUGACGGGCUUCUUUCAGUUUCCGUCUACCAAAUCCACUCACAAGGCUUUGGUCGGCCCGAGGCUAUAGUAGAAGACACUUGCCCAAGGUGCCGCGCAGUGGGACUGAACCCGGAACCAUGUGGUUGGUAAACAAGCUACUUACCACACAGCCACUCCUGCGCCUACUGUUUUUAUUAUUAUUAUUAUUAUUGUUUGCUGGACAAAAUGCUUAGCGAUAUUUCAUCUAUCGCUAUGUUUGGAGUUCAAAUUCUGCCGUGGUCGACUUUGCCUUUCAUCCUUUCAGGGUCGAUGAAUUAAGUACCAGUGAAACACUGGGGUUGAUGUAAUCAACUAGUCCCCUCCCUCAAAAUUUCAGGCCUUGUGUCUUUGGUAGUAAGGAUUAUCAUUCUUUUUUAUUGUCUAAGGCAGCGAGCUGGCAGAACCGUUAGCACGUCGGGCGAAAUGCUUAGCGAUAUUUCAUCUGCCGCUACGUUCUGAGUUCAAAUUCCACCGAGGUCGACUUUGCCUUUCAUCCUUUCGAGGUUGAUUACGCACUGGGGUCGAUAUAAUCGACUUAAUCCAUUUGUCUGUCCUUGUUUGUCCCCUCUGUGUGUAGCCCCUUGUGGGUAAUAAAGAAAUAGGAUUAUUAUUAUAUGUUUGGCUUUUGCUUUGUAUUUAUUGAAAUUGCACAAACAUAUACGACAGGCUUCUUUUCAGUUUCCAUCUACCAAAUCCAUUUACAAGGCUUUGGUUGGUCCGAGGCUAUAGUAGAAGACACUUGCCCAAGGUGCCACACAGUGGGACUGAACCUGGAAUCAUGUGGUUGGUAAGCAAGCUACUUACCACUGAAAAAUGUUUUGUUUUUUUCAAAUACUUAACUUUUUUCUAAAUUAAACCCUUCCUUAGCUAUCAGGAAAACAAUGCUAAUGCAAGAAAAUAUGAGGCGUUAAUGUGGUCACUUGAGAUGCUAGAAAUGGAAGCUUGAAAAAUAAUUUUCUUUUUCCCCCAAAUAUCAUUUUUUGCAAUUGAAAUUUCAAAUUGUAAACAACUUUGAAUGAUACGAACUCUAUAGUUGCACUUAAAGAAAUAUAAUAAACACUUGAUUUUUAGUAACUUCUCGAAAACGUUUCCAGUUGCUGACGUUUUUUGCUCUGACUUUAUAUUACAAUGUAAAAUUGUUUUGAUUCAACAGUGAUGUUGUAUAUCAUCAUCGUUUAAUGUCCAUUCUCCAUGCUAGCAUGGGUUGGACGGUUUGACCGGGGAUCUGGGAAGCCAGAAGGCUGCACCAGGCUCCGGUCUUAUCUGGCAAUGUUUCUACAGCUGGAUGCCCUUCCUAACGCCAACCACUCCGUGAGUGUAGUGGGUGCGUUUUACGUGCCACCUGCACUGGUGCCAGGCGAGGCUGGCAUCGGCCAUGGUCGGAUUGGUGCAUUUUACGUGCCACCGGCACGGAAGCCAGUCCGGGUGGCGCUGGCAUCGGCCUCGAUUCGGAUGGUGCUUUUAACGUGCCACCAACACAGCAGCCAGUCGAGGCGGAGCUGGCUUCGGCCACGAUUCGGAUGGUGCUUUUUACAUGCCACUGACACGGAAGCCAGUCGAGGCGGCGCUGGCUUCGGCCACGAUUCGGAUGGUGCUUUUUACGUGCCACCGACACGGAAGCCAGUCGAGGCGGCGCUGGCUUCGGCCACGAUUUGGAUGGUGCUUUUUACGUAUCUCCAGUCCAGGGGUCCUGGCAUUUGCCGGGUGCCAGCUAUAGGAUUGGUUCAAUUCCGAUUUCGAUUUCACUUAGUUGCAGAAAGUAACAAGUAAUAUAUAAAGUGGUUUGUCAAUCUGCCUCAUUUGAUGUCUGCUUUCCUUGCUGGCAUGAGUUGGAUGGUUUGACAGGAGCUAGCUAGGUAGAAGACUGUGGAGGCGCAAUGGCCCAGUGGUUAGGGCAGCGGACUCGCGGUCAUAGGAUCGCGGUUUCGAUUCUCAGACCGGGCGUUGUGAGUGUUUAUUGAGCAAAAACAUCUAAAAGCUCCACGAGGCUCCGGCAGGGGAUGGUGGUGAUCCCUGCUGUACUCUUUCACCACAACUUUCUCUCACUCUUACUUCCUGUUUCUGUUGUACCUGUAUUUCAAGGGGCCGGCCUUGUCACUCUCUGUGUCACGCUGAAUAUCCCCGAGAACUACGUUAAGGGUACACGUGUCUGUGGAGUGCUCAGCCACUUACACAUUAAUUUCAUGAGCAGGCUGUUCCGUUGAUUCGGAUCAACCGGAACCCUCGUCGUCGGAACCGACGGAGUGCUUCCAUCUAAGGUAGAAGACUGCAUCAGGCCUCAGUGUCUGUUUUGGCAGGGAUUUUUAACGGCUGGAUGCCCUUCCUAACACCAACCACUCUGCAGAGUGGACUGAGUGCUUUUUACGUGGCACCAGUACAGGCAAAGUUGGUUUUGGCAUGGUUUUUACAGCUGGAUGCCCUUCCAAACACCAACCACUUCACUGUGUGGAUUGGAUGCUUUUUAUGUGGCACCAACACUGACAGGGUCACCGAGUAACUUGCCAGACAAGGAUCCUUUUAGAGGAGGUGAUCUUGUACCAGAUGAUGACAGGUUAGAGUGUGACAGAGAGACAGAAUCAGGUGUCCUGCUGUAGUGGAGGUACAUGGUUACCCUGUCAGAGAGAGAGAGAGAUCAAGAAUGAGGGCAGAAGGAAGUGGCUUGCUGUAGAGAUAUUCCUGCGGACAAAAUGGAAAAGCAUUGCUCUGGAGGAUGGUGAGGGAGAUCUGCUGCAACAACCACCUUGACUCACGGGGCUUGUACUUGCAGAUAGCCAUCUGUGCUCUGAUAGUGGUGAGCAGGGAUGUGGUCUGGGGGCCAAGGAUGCCAGAGGUCUCCGUUACCACAGGC
rnacentral:lncRNA from 1 species